GCAGCGGAAACGAAUCUGACUAGGAACCACAAGGAUGAGGGUUUGAUCCCUGGCCUCGCUCAGUGCGUUAAGGAUCCAGCGUUGCCGUGAACUGUGGUGUAGGUCACAGAUGCGGCUCGGCUCUGGUGUUGCUGUGGCUGUGGCAUAGGCCAGUGGCUACAGCUCUGAUUAGACCCCUAGCCUGAGAACCUCCAUAUACUGAGGGUGCAGCCCUGAAAAGACAAAAAGACAAAAAAAAAAAAUAAAAAAUAACAAAAUAGUAAAAUCAAUCUAGUGCCAGUGAAAUGCCUCCAGUCUCCUAGGUGGUUCAUAGGAAGUCAACUUUUAUUUAUUUAUUUUUCAGAUUCAUAUCUUUUUUAUAUAUUUAAGUCCAGUCUUGGCAUUUUUCUAGAUUUUACAAUAAGUCUAUACCUUUUAGAUAUAAAUAAUCAUUCCAUUAGAUACAAUUCAUUGAAUUAGCUUUAGUCCUACUGUCUGGGUACUUGGACCUUGAGAAUUUUACAGAGAUCAACAAGUCAGAAGUUCUGUACGCAAAUAAUACCUUCUCAGGCAUCUACUAUUUGAGAGGGAUUAUUCUUUGGUAGGGAAACUAAAUUACUUCCUGAUAUUAAAUAUCUUUAUGAUAUUCUAUCUUGAAAGGAAAAAUCUUAAAAUUAUAAAACAAAGGUCUCAGUGUCUUAAGAGACAAUAGCCAGUGGACACAAAACACAUAGUAAGCCCAACAACAACUACACAAAGAACAUCUCCUAUUUAUAGGAGACCUUUCAUCACGGCAGUUGAAAAGGCAUUUUAUAAACCAAUUAACACUUAACAAUUGUAUCUUGGAAAGAUACAUGUCAAAUAUCAGUCUAGUUAUUAAAACCAAAGCAGAGAGAAAUUAAGUGCAUUAACAAUAAGAUUAAGGAAUCGAUAUAAUGCAGGUAAAAUGGUGAUGAGGAAUAAAACUAUACUGUAAAUACUGGCUUUUAGCUGUGUGCAUUCAAACGUGUGUAGAGAAACUGGCCUGUCUUAUCAAUGAGCUCGCCCAACUGCAUAAUUCCCUGGUGGGAUCUUCCCAAGAGAGAAAUUCAUCUCUAUUUAGGAAUCUGGAACCCGUGGGGGGUCCAGGACAUAUUUUCAAUCAUUUGUAAAUUAAUCCAGUAAAUUUAAAAAACUCAUGGCUUUAAACAGAGAAGAACUAAAUCUUUCUGAGCGCUGUUAUCAGAAUACAGGGACUUUUUUUUUCUUUUUUUUUGGCUAUACCCAAGGCGUGCAGAAGAUCCCAUGCUAGGAUUCAAACCGGAGCCACAGCAGUGAUAAUGCUGAUCCUCAACCACCAGGCUAGGCCAACAGGGAACUCCAAAUGGGAAUUUUUCAUAUUGUCUCAUUUGAAUUACUCUGAAGUUUCAAAUCUCAGUCUGUAAAAUCAAUCAUGGCAUUUCCAAAAAAAUUAAAGAAUUUAUCAUUAUAGAGAUUAAAUGUAGGAAAAGUGGGUCUAGCUAACUUUAUUAUCUUUAUAGCUACUUUGUAUGUUAAGUUAAACUCUAAUUUAUGUAAUACAGAUGGGCCACUCUCUGUACAUAGGCAGGUCCCGUGUGUAUAUAUGUGACUCACAUAUUCUGGGUACAGGCAGAUCUUUAACACGCUGCAGAUUUGGUUUCAGAUACCACAAUAAAGUGAGUAUCGCAAAAUUAAGCGAGUCAUAUGCAUUUUUGUUCCUCUGUGCAUGUUAAAGUUACGUUUACACUAAACCGCACUCUACAAAGUGUACAACAGCAUUAUGUCUGAAAAACAUUCUACGAACCUUAAUUUCCAAAUCCUUUAUUGCUUAAAAAAAUGCCAUCAACUGAGCCUUCAAUGGGUUGUGGUAACAUUAAAGAAUGAAGAUCCCAGAUCACUAUAACAAAUAUAAUAAUGGAAAGGUUUAAAAUAGUCCAAGAAUUACCCAAAUGGACACAGAGCCACAAAGUGAGCAAAUGCUGUAGGAAAAAUAGCAUUGAUAGGCUUGCUUGACACGGGGCUGCCACAAAUGUUCAAGCUGCAAAAGAUGCACUGUCUGUGAAGCACAAUAAACCAGGCACGCCAGUGUCUCUGGGUGUCCUCACAGACACAUCGACACGCAUCGGGACACGGGUGGGAACGUGACUGUGAGAAAGUAUGGAGGUUCCCACACCAUCAGCUCUACUGAACUGACCCAUCCGUGCAAACUGGGACAUCUGUAGACUUUGGGUCAAUGGCCAAGAUAGGACAGGGACGCUGCCUGUGGGCUGCUCAGGACCACAGGCCUGGGAGCUCCAAACUCCAGGGAGGAGUCUGUGCCUGUCACUCCGCCCCAGAAAGUCUCUUCUAUGAAACUGUCCCCACCAACCUCUCUGUCCUUCAUCUCAGAGUCAGCUCCCUUGGGACCACUGGGUAGGGGUGAGGAAGGACCGUGACAGUGGGUGCUCUGCACCUGCUACUUCUGUUCCCUGAACGCUCUGCAGGGGCCUAGUUCUUCACUCACAGGAUCAGGACACUGUGCCUGUGCUCAUGCUGGUCCCACCUCCCAGAAUGCCUGUCCCAUGCAUUGCCACCUUCUGAAAUCCUAGCCACACAUCACUAAGUCUGUCUCACAUGCCUCAUUCCUCGGAAAUGCUCUACCUGAUCCCUCAUGUAGGCGUCUCUCAACCGAAACAGAUGUUACAUCAUCUUUGCCUAAAUGUCUAUAAACAUCACGACCACCUUCUAUCUUACACAGCUGAUAGAGCCAUUUUCUUACAUCUUCAACUGGACUGUAUAUGUUGACAGCAGGACCUAUACUGGGUUUGCCUUUGUACUAUUUGUAUGACCUGUGAAGUCCUGCACAGAAGAGGCAUUUAGUAGGGAGCUGAGAUUUUUAAUGCAGGCUAGAGAAAUGUAUGGAAAAAUCUAUUACCACAAUAUUUUGGUAAUGAUAAUUUGGACAGAGAGACAGAUGCAUUAGAUGGAUCCUAGAGCCAUAAAUACAAUUUCAAAUGGCCAACCCCUCAUAUUCACGAAGAGACAACAAUUUACCCAGGGAAAGUGGUUAUGGUCAUUUUACAUUCAAUUAAAAUGACAGCUCUCUUUGUCCAAACAUUUACUCUGUGCCAGUCUCUAUGCUGGGUUUUUAUUCAUUUAUUGCUUUUUAGGGCUGCAACUGUGGCAUGAGGAAGUUCCAAGGCUAGGGGGUCGAAUUGGAGCUACAGCCACCAGCCUAUGCUACAGGCACAGCAAUGCAGGAUCCGAGCCACAGCUGCAACCUACACCCAAGCUCUCCAUAACACCAAAUCCCCAACCCACUGAGCAAGCCCAGGGAUCAAACCUGCAUCCUCAUGGAUGCUGGUUGGAUUUGUUUCUGCUGCACCACAAGGGGAACUCCAUGCUGGCUGUUUUAUGUGUCUUAUUUAUGUUGUACAGCUAUCCAGGAGGUUAAGGCCUAUCACUUCCAUUUUGCACAAGAAAAGGUUGAGGCUUUUAAGAUUAACUAGUCUGCCUCAAAUAACAGAGCUCAUAUGUCACAGACAGGACUCAAAGCCACAGUGUCGGCCUCUUUUCCAUUCUGCUCAUGGCCUCCUUAUCACCUGGAUGGUCUGGUACCUUAUCAUGUCUCUCUGUGUAGCCAGAACAGAGAAAGUGGGGAGUGCUGUAGCCACAGUUAAAGGAGCCUACCAACCAUAGAGAUCUCACUGCCAAACAGUAAAAGCAUGACAGGGACACAGGUGACCAUAAUGUAGUGAGUGGCUCAGAGGGCCGACGUCUCUGAGCCAAGAGGGGACCUGAGGUCAGGUGGACUGGCUGUCAGCAGGAAGACCCAGCACCCAUAGCAGGGCUGGGAGAGAAACCUAAAGAAUCUAAAGCUAAGUGGGGCUCAAGGUGCCCGGGAAACAGGCCCAGUAGACCGGUGGCCCUGCCUAAGGCAGCGAGACCCAUGUCUGAUCCCAUCAGUGGCGAGAGAGCCUCACAGGCACUGCUACGCGGGGCUGUCUCUGACUCUGAGCCCAGGCAGAACCGAGCCUGGGGUGAAACACCUCCCGUCCCUACAGGAGGCUGGUGUAGGGAAGGCCGGACGGCAGGAUGGGCCCCAGACUACACUCAACAGAGGCAAAUAAGUGCAUUAGGAUCACAUAGAGCUGGAUUACAAUGUAAAGGCACAAUUUUCAUAGUACAAACAUGAGUAAAACUCUAAAGUAAAUGGCACAGAACUUUCUAGAGCCUCAUGCUCAGUCACAAGAGGGGUUCACCCAAACUUCGAUUCAGAAUAGCAUUUGAACAAGACCUUCCAGUAAAGUCCUUUCUUACCCAUACACAAUUUUUCAUGACUCGUAAACCAUGCUUUCUAAGAAACUUCCUUUGAUGGUUUGAAAUUGUGCUGAUGAAUCACCCAACCACUGAUGUACCAUAAGCUCUAUCUGAAAAGACUAUCUAAGAUGCUGUGGAAGCACAGAGGAGCCUGAAGAGGCAGGUGCAAGAGAGCUGACUCUGAGCAUGAGGAGACUUUCAGCAGCCAGGUGACAGGUCCAAGGUCGAGGGGCAGCUGUGCAUACUGGGGGCUGGUAGGACACAGGGCUCUGGGAGAAUGACCAUGACCUGAGCAUGGGGAUGGCAUGUGGGCUAGGACCUGGAGGAGAGGGCAGUGCCAAAGAGCUGCUGACGCCGUGUCUGCUCUGGUUUAGUCUCUGUCAGGACCCUGCCUUGGUCCCAGCCGAGGGCCCCAAGAUGAGCAUGACAGGGACACUGCCAGCAGACAGGGAUGCUGGCAGGACCAGAUCACACGCCCUCUGCCAUCUCCCACGUGUGUCUUCCCUGCUCCCUUCCAUGUGAUUUCAUCAACUCUGAGCAAGUCUCUGGGCCCUGCCUUGAGCUUGGGGUCCUGGUUCCUCACCCCCCAAUGAGUCAUGAUUCUAGGCUCUUCUCUGGUGGACACAAGCUUCCCCACUGCCUCUGCUGGAGUGGACAAUCGCACAUGUGUUGCUCAACCUUUAGCUGGACAAUAAAUGAGGCAAAUGGCUUAAACAAACCUUGCUUCUUCGGGGAAUCCAUGAUGUCAGGUCCAUCAGUACCAGAGGCCCGUCUGAGCUGUACCUGAAGCUCACAUUACUAAGGUCAAUGCUUCCUUCAUGGGGCCAGGAUGGCGGUGGACGAUACUCAUAUUCCCAGGGUGCUUCUUUCUCAAGGUCUGUAUAUUCAGUCACUCUUUCUACUGAAAUCAUCUGAAAGACACAUGACAUCACGUGGGUUAGGAACAAAGCGUCUUGUUUAUGGAGGUUCAGAGACUGUAAAUGAGAUGUUUUGCUUUUUUAUCUUUAUGUCGACUUUUCUCUGGUUAAGUUUAUCCCAGGUCUUAUCAUCCCCAAAGGACAGAAGGAGGCGUCUGAUGAGGCCUUUGAUGAUUUGCAAACUUGUUCAUCGUCCUGUAACACUGUCACUUACGGCCACUUCCUUCAACAUUGUAUUAAAACCAAAAGAACUAGAGAACUGAAUGCUAAGACUUUACUGAUCCACUUUUCAUACCUGAAUAAAAAAACAAGAGAGUUGUGUCAAAGGAAGGGAUACUGAUGGACCCUGAUCAGUAAUGUGUGGUACAGAAGGGCGUCUGUCAUGACGAGCAGAACUGGACAGUCAGCAAGCUCGUUUUAAUAACUAGUCACCUUCUCUACAAAAGUGAAGAAUGCAAUGGAAACAUUUCGUCUAUAUUGUUUUUCUCUCUUAGGAGAAGAUGCAAAUAUUCAAAAAAGGAGAUAAUUUACAAACUGACUAAGGCCUCCUAAACGACCAUUCACUCAACACCUCUGACAGCACAUUCUGAGACGGGGCUUAUCCUGCCAGAAAGAAGGGACACCUGCAGAUUCAGGUGUUCAACACAUACAAGAAUAAAUGCUAAAAUGGGGUGGGGAGGAUACCUAUUAAACAACCAAUCUCAAAAGCUUACAUUCUUCUUUUGUCAAAAAUGAGGAAUUACCAAUUAAGAAACAAAAAUAAAUAAGUCUCUAAGAAACUGACUUUAAUUCUUUCCAGGAUUUCAGAACCUCCCUCCUACAGAGACAUUUAUUACAUGUGAAGACAGCAUGUGAUGAACAGAAAACCUGCUGACCUGGCACACAUACGAGUUAGAAAAAGAUGUGUAUAUUUUAUUCCAUAUUAACUUUAAACAGAUGGGAGAAGAACCUAGAAAAUUCUGUUAACUACAAUGUAAAAACGUCAGUUUUAAUAUUUCACAUAAGAAUUGAUGUUAUACCAUUUGAUGGCAAGGAGACUAGAACAGGCUAAGAAGGUUAAGAUAAACACUUUACCAUAGUCUCGGCUUCGGCACUUUGCCUGACGCACCGCGGGACCAUCACCAUGAACGUGAGGGCGAGAGACAGCACCAGGCCCACCUGCCCGACAUUCAAAGCUAAAAGAGGAUGAAGAGGAGGAAUGAGGUCAGCGCCAUUCCUUUUUAAAUUUAUUUUAUUGAUUUACAAUGUUGUGAUAAUUUCUGCUGUACAGUAAUUCAGUUAUACAUACAGUCUUUUUUCACAUUCCUUGCCAUCCUGGUUUACCACAGGAUACGGAAUUCGGUUCCCCACGCUGUACAGUAGGACCUUGUCGUUUCUCCAUUCUGCAUGUAUCAGUUUGCAUCUGCUAACUCCAAACUCCCAGUCCAUCCAUCCCAGCCCCCUCCCCCGCUCCUCCUUGGCCACCACAAUUCUGUUCUUUAUGUCUGUGAGUCUGUAUCUGUUUCAUAA
rnacentral:lncRNA from 1 species